ACAAAGGCUUCCUUUGAAGCCAUCCCAAUGACCAUGGAAGGUUGUGU
rfam:Desulfobacula toluolica Tol2 complete genome